CGCGCUGCACCAUUUGCAGGCCCCGGAUGCAAAAGGAAACUGCGGGCCCUUUGUUUAAAAAUCAUGAAGAACGUCAAGCAGAGAGGGCAGAACCCAACACCUCCCUGCCCCGACUCCUCCCCGGGGCGCCCUGGGCCAGCCACGGCCCGCCUCAGGGCCUUUGCACGGGCUACUCCCAUCCUCCAGCCCCCAUACCCUUUUGGCUCCCGUGGUCACCUUCUCCAGGUGUGUGAGGCCCUCCCUGGCUCCAGCGGUUGAGCACCCGCCUCCCACACGGGAGGCCCCCAGUUCGGUUCCUGGUGCCCUCUGGGAAAAAAAAAAAAGCCAACAGCAAAACAAACGAUUAAAAAGAUACCACCUCAGGGCAGACCAAGCCCCCCCCCCACCCCUGGCACCGCAUGCACACACAAUGCUAGCUGCCCCCUCCCCACCCUGGGCACCCCCCCCCCGCCCCCGCCACCUCCAGCCCACCCCUGUCCCUGCCCGCAAGUUCCAGGCGCCCCCCACCCACCCGGCCCCUCUCGCCAAAGGGGGAAGGGGGCCAAGGGGAGCCGGCUUGGCUGGGACAAGUUGGGUGGGGGCCGGCGGCCCAGGGACCCCCCCUCCCCCAAUAAAGAUGAGGGUACUAAAGAUGUGUUGGUUUUGAUUAAUUUUUCUUCUUCUCUUUCCAGUACGCUAGCUUGUCUUUUAAGAGAGAGGGGAUAUUGGGAAAAAAAUAAAAAAUAAGAAAGAGAAAUGUUUAAAAAACACACCACACACCCACACGCGUGUCUGUAUAUAGCUUUUUAGACUGUCAGCUCUCUUUGUGCUCAGUUGUUUGAUCUCUCCGGAGAGAUGUGGAAAUGCUGUAUCGAGGGCGGGCUUAGCUGUGCCUUUCAAAUAAAGACGUGAGAAGGUUGGCUGCUGUGUGUCUUGCUCUGUGUCGCGGGCUGCCCACCCCGGGGGGAGAAGGGGGCUCUCUUCAGGUCGGCAGGGAGAAGGGGGUCGCGGCAGAGUCACGCCAGGUGUGGGGUCCGGUUCCCGGACUCGAUGCCUAAGCUCAGAGAGGGACAGCUGGAAGCCUGGGGUCACACAGCACAGCCUGCAGGAUUUGAGACUUUCGCCAGCGCUGGUGCCCAAGGGCCCCGGAAUUUCGGUUAUUUUGCCAUCAAGACCGU
rnacentral:lncRNA from 1 species